rnacentral:lncRNA from 1 species
CAAAUCCAUAUUACUUUUCUCCCUCAGUGAUCCAUGACCUUUACAAAGAGCAAAAAAGGAAAGCAUUACUUAUUCAUUCCAAAAAGUUAAAGGCUUACCAGAGCAGGAGCACAGUUAUUUGGACGAACAUGGCAGACUUGUUUAAGGAAGCUUGAGCUCCUUCUGGCUCAUGUGCGGAACGAAAGUCCUCCUUUCAGUGAACGAGAGUUGGCAGCCCUUCUGUGGAGCCACCACGAGGCAGCUGAGCUGGGACAACUUGCUGAUGUCCCAGAAUGCAGCCCUGCAACAUUAGAUGUGACUUCUUCCACUUGAAUGCAAGCAAAAUAAGCCAGUUUUCCUCCUUUCCCUAAAUGAAAGCCUUCUCAAAUAACUGAAAAUGGAUGCUCAUUUUCAAAGAAAUAUUUUCUAGAUGAAGACAGAUAGAUUGCAUGCUUGAGCUUUGAGAAUUACCACACACUGGAUGAGGGGAUGGAAACUUCUUUUUCAUGGAAAUGUAUGUAUCUUUAAAUAUAAUAAAUAUAGGUAGCUCUAAAGUUGAUUUUGAAUUUUUCAUUAAGAUACGCAAAAGAAGAAUUAUAUUUACAUGCAGUAACAUGAAUUUAU